UAAAUUAUGGUCAAUUGUUAGUAUUCAUAUUAAUUUUUUUAAAUGUUUUAUCAUUUUAUAAAGGUUUAUUUUUGAAAGAUUUUUUGUAUAAAAUUUUAGGAAUAGUUAAUAAUAAUUUAUAAUUUUGAUUAGAUUGUUUUGUUAAUGCUAUUAGAUGGGUGUGGAAAAAUAAAAAAAAUAAUUAAUAUAUAUCAAUAAUAAAUUAAAUUAAUCUAUUAGUCAGAAAUGGAUGCCAGCCGUUGCGGUAAUUUCUAUGCUUUUAAAUAUUAUACAAUUAUCAUAUUAAAUUGUUAAGUGUUGAUUUAACCAAUAAAAAUAUAAAUAAUUUUUAUUUGUUUUUAAACACCAUUAGGUAUAUGCAAAUAUAAAAUUAUAGUAAUUAUAAAUUAUAUUAUAUUAUAUUUAUUCAUAUAAUUAAUAGGAUAAUAUUUGUAGUUUUUGAUACCAUGAUAAGGAUUAUAAAUUGAAAGUGUUAAUAUCAUAAUCAAAAUUUAUUAUUUAUAUUAAAUAUGUAUGUGUAGAUAAAAUAAGAAAUUAAAAAGGUAUUGUUGCCCACCAAUUUUUAUAAUAAAAAUAACGUGCAGUAAUUAAUAUAUUUAUAAAAAUAUAUUUUUUUUUUUU
rnacentral:rRNA from 1 species